rnacentral:rRNA from 1 species
CUACGGGUGGCUCCAGCAGGGAAUAUUGCACAAUGGACGGAAGUCUGAUGCAGCGACGCCGCGUGGAUGAUGAAGGCCCUCGGGUUGUAAAAUCCUUUUCAGGGGGACGAGGAAGGACGGUACCCUUGGAAUAAGCGUCGGCUAACUACGUGCCAGCAGCCGCGGUAAGACGUAGGACGCAAGCGUUAUCCGGAUUUACUGGGCGUAAAGCGUCUGUAGGCGGAAUGGUAAGUUGGAUGUGAAAGCUCCGGGCUCAACCCGGAGAGGUCGUUCAAUACUGCCAAACUAGAGGGCAUCAGAGGAGCGUGGAAUUUCCGGUGUAGCGGUAAAAUGCGCAGAUAUCGGAAGGAACACCAAUGGCGAAGGCAGCGCUCUGGGAUGAACCUGACGCUAAGAGACGAAAGCUAGGGGAGCGAACAGGAUUAGAUACCCGAGUAGUC